UCGAACGAAGCACUUUAUUUGAUUUCCUUCGGGACUGAUUAUUUUGUGACCGUUUAACGGACGGGUGAGUAACGCGUGGGUAACCUGCCUUGCCCAGGGGGAUAACAGUUGGAAACGGCUGCUAAUACCGCAUAAGCGCACGGCAUCGCAUGAUGCAGUGUGAAAAACUCCGGUGGUAUAAGAUGGACCCGCGUUGGAUUAGCUAGUUGGUGAGGUAACGGCCCACCAAGGCGACGAUCCAUAGCCGACCUGAGAGGGUGACCGGCCACAUUGGGACUGAGACACGGCCCAAACUCCUACGGGAGGCAGCAGUGGGGAAUAUUGCACAAUGGGCGAAAGCCUGAUGCAGCGACGCCGCGUGAGCGAAGAAGUAUUUCGGUAUGUAAAGCUCUAUCAGCAGGGAAGAUAAUGACGGUACCUGACUAAGAAGCACCGGCUAAAUACGUGCCAGCAGCCGCGGUAAUACGUAUGGUGCAAGCGUUAUCCGGAUUUACUGGGUGUAAAGGGAGCGCAGGCGGUGCGGCAAGUCUGAUGUGAAAGCCCGGGGCUCAACCCCGGUACUGCAUUGGAAACUGUCGUACUAGAGUGUCGGAGGGGUAAGCGGAAUUCCUAGUGUAGCGGUGAAAUGCGUAGAUAUUAGGAGGAACACCAGUGGCGAAGGCGGCUUACUGGACGAUAACUGACGCUGAGGCUCGAAAGCGUGGGGAGCAAACAGGAUUAGAUACCCUGGUAGUCCACGCC
rnacentral:rRNA from 1 species